GGGACAUCAAACCAGAGAACAUCCUGGUUGACCUGGCCACCGGGCAGGCAAAGCUCAUCGACUUUGGCUGUGGCACCUACCUGCAAGACACAGCCUACACUCACUUUGCAGGAACACCAUCAUACAGCCCCCCGGAAUGGACCCGCUUUGGCUGGUACCAUGGCGAGCCAGCUACCAUCUGGUCCCUGGGCAUCCUGCUGCACCAGAUGGUCUGUGGGAAGAUGCCUUUCAGGAGGGGCUGGAACUUCAGCUGGGGCCAGCUCUCACUGCCACAACGGCUCUCUCCAGAGUGCCAAAAUCUGAUCGGGUGGUGUUUAUCCAUGCACUUCUUGGACAGACCCUCAUUAGAAGAGGUGUUCUGUCAUCCUUGGAUGCAGGAUAUUCAUCUGCCAUAGAAGAAGGGAGAGAGCCACAGUCACACUGUGCUGCAGGGCCCUGGGAAGGAGAAGGAGCCCCCAGAGAAGCUGUACCAGAUGGGGCUGCUGCUGCUGGGGACAGUGAGGAUGACAUCAAGGAUGACAACCUCUUCCUCAACCUGGCCACCAGCAGUUGAAGAGGAAGCAUUCUAGGUGGACUCCAGUCUGGAUUGGGAAGUGCUUGGGACCAGCUGUGGCAUGGAUGGGCCGUGCCCUUGGAGCAGGCUGAGGACAUCGUUUGGGA